AGCCUGAUGCAGCCAUGCCGCGUGUAUGAAGAAGGCCUUCGGGUUGUAAAGUACUUUCAGUCGUGAGGAAGGCGGCGUCGUUAAUAGCUGCGUUGUUUGACGUUAGCGACAGAAGAAGCACCGGCUAACUCCGUGCCAGCAGCCGCGGUAAUACGGAGGGUGCGAGCGUUAAUCGGAAUUACUGGGCGUAAAGCGCAUGCAGGUGGUUUGUUAAGUCAGAUGUGAAAGCCCGGGGCUCAACCUCGGAAUAGCAUUUGAAACUGGCAGACUAGAGUACUGUAGAGGGGGGUAGAAUUUCAGGUGUAGCGGUGAAAUGCGUAGAGAUCUGAAGGAAUACCGGUGGCGAAGGCGGCCCCCUGGACAGAUACUGACACUCAGAUGCGAAAGCGUGGGGAGCAAACAGGAUUAGAUACCCUGGUAGUCCACGCCGUAAACGAUGUCUACUUGGAGGUUGUGGCCUUGAGCCGUGGCUUUCGGAGCUAACGCGUUAAGUAGACCGCCUGGGGAGUACGGUCGCAAGAUUAAAACUCAAAUGAAUUGACGGGGGCCCGCACAAGCGGUGGAGCAUGUGGUUUAAUUCGAUGCAACGCGAAGAACCUUACCUACUCUUGACAUCCAGAGAACUUUCCAGAGAUGGAUUGGUGCCUUCGGGAACUCUGAGACAGGUGCUGCAUGGCUGUCGUCAGCUCGUGUUGUGAAAUGUUGGGUUAAGUCCCGCAACGAGCGCAACCCUUAUCCUUGUUUGCCAGCGAGUAAUGUCGGGAACUCCAGGGAGACUGCCGGUGAUAAACCGGAGGAAGGUGGGGACGACGUCAAGUCAUCAUGGCCCUUACGAGUAGGGCUACACACGUGCUACAAUGGCGCAUACAGAGGGCGGCCAACUUGCGAAAGUGAGCGAAUCCCAAAAAGUGCGUCGUAGUCCGGAUUGGAGUCUGCAACUCGACUCCAUGAAGUCGGAUCGCUAGUAUCGUGGAUCAGAUGCCACGGUGAAUACGUUCCCGGCUGUACACACGCCCGUCACACCAUGGGAGUGGGCUGCAAAGAAGUAGUAGUUUACUUCGGGGGACGCUUACCACUUUGGGUCAUGACUGGUA
rnacentral:rRNA from 1 species